AGCGAUGAGCCCUGGAGUGAGUAGCUGUAUCUCUGGCACCUGACCACAGGGCAUGGCAUGAAGUGAAAGUUUCCCGAAUUUCUGUCGAAUGACUGGAUGGCAGGCUGCUGAACUGUCAUGACCUCUACGGAAACUGAUCUCACCAAACUUCUUUGGACAGAUUUCGGAGUCAUCUCUGAAGACCCCAGGUGUGCCACUAAAUGCAGGAAAGUUAGGCAGGCGGGGUGGGGAGGGUAGACCCCAGGAGAACAGCGACUUCCUCAGAGGAUUCACAAACACACCAAAGUCAGACUUUUGGCUUGUUUGAAACCAGUAACUGGAAGAAGACACUACCGGACCUGAGGAUUGCACAAUUCCGGGAAAGUCACCUCAUUCCACUGAUAACAGAACCAAGUGUCAGCAGGCUUUCAACAGCCCGGAACUCAGCUAAAAUCCACAGACCUCAGAACCGCCAGCAGCUCGAGGACAGAGUCGGGGAGGUGUGGCUGGACAACAGCUCAUGAGGCAAACUUCAUCCUGUAGCCAUCCUCGUCCUGCAGACCCCGCUCCAGGGCGCGACGCUGGCGAGGGCACUUCCCUGAAGUUGGGGCCCCAUCAGACAGUGCGGGGUGCCCCGGCCAUCCCGCCUCCACUGCCCCGCCCCAGGCCCUCAGUCUCACCCUCAGCACACUGGCAGACUUCAGCAGAACACAAGGUGGCCAAGAGUCUGCUCUUACUUGGUGCCCCGUAAAACACAGAACAUCUGCGCUCUGGAGAACAGAGAGGAGUUAGGGCCCCUCCAUUCUGCCUCCUCAGUCCCAGGGAGCCCCAGGGCUCUCUGCCCCCUCACUAGCCCGGUGUCCACCGUCCCAUAGGAGGGCACC
rnacentral:antisense_RNA from 1 species